rnacentral:rRNA from 1 species
GACGUAGGGCGCGAGCGUUGUCCGGAUUUAUUGGGCGUAAAGAGCUCGUAGGCGGCUUGUUGCGUCGUCCGUGAAAACCCACGGCUUAACUGUGGGCUUGCGGUCGAUACGGGCGGGCUGGAGUUCGGUAGGGGAGACGUGGAAUUCCUGGUGUAGCGGUGAAAUGCGCAGAUAUCAGGAGGAACACCGGUGGCGAAGGCGGGUCUCUGGGCCGAUACUGACGCUGAGGAGCGAAAGCGUGGGGAGCAAACAGG